rnacentral:rRNA from 1 species
GAUGAACGCUGGCGGCGUGCCUAAUACAUGCAAGUCGAGCGAACGGACGAGAAGCUUGCUUCUCUGAUGUUAGCGGCGGACGGGUGAGUAACACGUGGAUAACCUACCUAUAAGACUGGGAUAACUUCGGGAAACCGUAGCUAAUACCGGAUAAUAUUUUGAACCGCAUGGUUCAAAAGUGAAAGACGGUCUUGCUGUCACUUAUAGAUGGAUCCGCGCUGCAUUAGCUAGUUGGUAAGGUAACGGCUUACCAAGGCAACGAUGCAUAGCCGACCUGAGAGGGUGAUCGGCCACACUGGAACUGAGACACGGUCCAGACUCCUACGGGAGGCAGCAGUAGGGAAUCUUCCGCAAUGGGCGAAGGCCUGACGGAGCAACGCCGCGUGAGUGAAGAAGGUCUUCGGAUCGUGAAACUCUGUUAUUAGGGAAGAACAUAUGUGUAAGUAACUGUGCACAUCUUGACGGUACCUAAUCAGAAAGCCACGGCUAACUACGUG